GACGAACGCUGGCGGCGUGCUUAACACAUGCAAGUCGAACGGAAAGGCCUGCUUUCCCUUGUGGAUUGCGGGUACUCGAGUGGCGAACGGGUGAGUAACACGUGAGUGAUCUGCCCCCAACUUGGGUAUAAGCCUGGGAAACUGGGUCUAAUUCCCGAUAGGACUGCAGGGUGGUGCCUGUGGUGGAAAACGAUUUUCUAGAGGUUGGGGAUGAGCUCGCGGCCUAUCAGCUUGUUGGUGGGGUAAUGGCCUACCAAGGCGGCGACGGGUAGCCGGCCUGAGAGGGUGGACGGCCCCAUUGGGACUGAGAUACGGCCCAGACUCCUACGGGAGGCAGCAGUGGGGAAUAUUGCACAAUGGGCGGAAGCCUGAUGCAGCGACGCCGCGUGGGGGAUGACGGCCUUCGGGUUGUAAACUCCUUUCGACCGCGAGGAAGCCACCUGGUUGGAAGGGUGGUGACGGUAGUGGUGGAAGAAGCACCGGCUAACUACGUG
rnacentral:rRNA from 1 species